UACGUAGGGUGCGAGCGUUAAUCGGAAUUACUGGGCGUAAAGCGUGCGCAGGCGGUAAUGUAAGACAGAUGUGAAAAUCCCCCGGGCUUAACCUGGGACCUGCAUUUGUGACUGCAUUGCUGGAGUGCGGCAGAGGGGGGGUAGAAUUCCACGUGUAGCAGUGAAAUGCGUAGAGAUGUGGAGGAAUACCGAUGGCGAAGGCAGCCCCCUGGGCCAAUACUGACGCUCAUGCACGAAAGCGUGGGGAGCAAACAAGG
rnacentral:rRNA from 1 species